CACUAGUGACACCUUUGGCAUCCCUCUCCUUGAAGAGUUGCAGUAAAACGAAAAGAACUGAAAAUUAAAGAUAAUAGGCAACUAUGAAUAAUUCCAAAAAUUCUUUCCCCUUGACUGACACACUCAUCCAUGAAUAAAUUAAACAUCACAAAUCACAACCCUGUCAAAAUAGUUUUCCAUUGGCCUGAUUAAAACUCCCUUAGCUCUGGCUUUCUUAAUUUCUUGUCUGAGUGAUGUAGAACCAAUAGACCACGCUCAAAGAAGAAACAAUGCUCUCAAAUUUAUUUAAUUCUCAAUUGUCUAAUACAAAAAUCUAAUGUUAGAAACCCUUCACAAAACUUAUGUACAGAAAUAACCCCCACACUCAAAGAAGAAACAAUGCUCUCAAAUUUAUUUAAUUCUCAAUUGUCUAAUACAAAAAUCUAAUGUUAGAAACCCUUCACAAAACUUAUGUACAGAAAUAACCCCCACA
rnacentral:misc_RNA from 1 species